rnacentral:rRNA from 1 species
GAUGAACGCUGGCGGCGUGCCUAAUACGUGCAAGUCGAGCGAACGGACGAGAAGCUUGCUUCUCUGAUGUUAGCGGCGGACGGGUGAGUGACACGUGGAUAACCUACCUAUAAGACUGGGAUAACUUCGGGAAACCGGAGCUAAUACCGGAUAAUAUUUUGAACCGCAUGGUUCAAAAGUGAAAGACGGUCUUGCUGUCACUUAUAGAUGGAUCCGCGCUGCAUUAGCUAGUUGGUAAGGUAACGGCUUACCAAGGCAACGAUGCAUAGCCGACCUGAGAGGGUGAUCGGCCACACUGGAACUGAGACACGGUCCAGACUCCUACGGGAGGCAGCAGUAGGGAAUCUUCCGCAAUGGGCGAAAGCCUGACGGAGCAACGCCGCGUGAGUGAUGAAGGUCUUCGGAUCGUAAAACUCUGUUAUUAGGGAAGAACAUAUGUGUAAGUAACUGUGCACAUCUUGACGGUACCUAAUCAGAAAGCCACGGCUAACUACGUG